rnacentral:rRNA from 1 species
UACGGAGGGUGCGAGCGUUGUCCGGAAUCACUGGGCGUAAAGGGCGCGUAGGUGGCUACUCAAGCGCGCGGUGAAAGCCCGGGGCUCAACCCCGGGUCGGCCGUGCGGACUGGGAGCUCGAGCACUGUAGGGGCGGGUGGAAUUCCGGGUGUAGCGGUGGAAUGCGUAGAUAUCGUAAGGAAGACCAGUGGCGAAGGCGGGUCUCUGGACAGUUCCUGACGCUGAGGCACGAAGGCCAGG